CCUACGGGGGGCUGCAGUGGGGAAUAUUGGACAAUGGGCGAAAGCCUGAUCCAGCCAUGCCGCGUGUGUGAAGAAGGCCUUCGGGUUGUAAAGCACUUUCAGUGGGGAAGAAAGCCUUGGGGCUAAUACCCUCGAGGAAGGACAUCACCCACAGAAGAAGCACCGGCUAACUCCGUGCCAGCAGCCGCGGUAAUACGGAGGGUGCGAGCGUUAAUCGGAAUCACUGGGCGUAAAGCGCGCGUAGGCGGUCUGAUAAGCCGGUUGUGAAAGCCCCGGGCUCAACCUGGGAACGGCAUCCGGAACUGUCAGGCUAGAGUGCAGGAGAGGAAGGUAGAAUUCCCGGUGUAGCAGUGAAAUGCGUAGAGAUCGGGAGGAAUACCAGUGGCGAAGGCGGCCUUCUGGACUGACACUGACGCUGAGGUGCGAAAGCGUGGGUAGCAAACAGGAUUAGAUACCCCAGUAGUC
rnacentral:rRNA from 1 species